GACGAACGCUGGCGGCGUGCCUAAUACAUGCAAGUCGAACGCUUCUUUUUCCACCGGAGCUUGCUCCACCGGAAAAAGAGGAGUGGCGAACGGGUGAGUAACACGUGGGUAACCUGCCCAUCAGAAGGGGAUAACACUUGGAAACAGGUGCUAAUACCGUAUAACAAUCGAAACCGCAUGGUUUUGAUUUGAAAGGCGCUUUCGGGUGUCGCUGAUGGAUGGACCCGCGGUGCAUUAGCUAGUCGGUGAGGUAACGGCUCACCAAGGCCACGAGGCAUAGCCGACCUGAGAGGGUGAUCGGCCACAUUGGGACUGAGACACGGCCCAAACUCCUACGGGAGGCAGCAGUAGGGAAUCUUCGGCAAUGGACGAAAGUCUGACCGAGCAACGCCGCGUGAGUGAAGAAGGUUUUCGGAUCGUAAAACUCUGUUGUUAGAGAAGAACAAGGAUGAGAGUAACUGUUCAUCCCUUGACGGUAUCUAACCAGAAAGCCACGGCUAACUACGUGCCAGCCGCCGCCGUAA
rnacentral:rRNA from 1 species